GUCUAUGGCCAUACAACCUUGAACACACACUAUCUCAUGUGAUCUCCAAAGCUAAGCAGAAUGGGAUCUGAUUAGUACUUGGAUAGGAAAUAUAUUUCCUAAGCCU
rnacentral:rRNA from 14 species